GCGGGCGUAGCUCAGGGGUAGAGCGAUUCGUUGCCAACGAAUAGGUCGUGAGUUCAAAUCUCAUCGCCCGCUCCA
rnacentral:tRNA from 1 species